rnacentral:rRNA from 1 species
GAUUUCUGGCUUGGUGCGCCUGGCCCGCCACGGUUACGUGUGUGAGUGCUGGGUCGCGCCUGCCAUCCUUCUAGAGAACGUCUCUACUCUUCAUUGAGCUGGAGGCGCAAUCUAGAUCUUUUACUUUGAAAAAAUUAGAGUGUUUAAAGCAAGCUUUUGCUAUGAAUACAUUAGCAUGGAAUAAUAAUUUAGGACUUCGGUUCUAUUUUGUUGGUUUUCAGAACUGAAGUAAUGAUUGAUAGGGACAGUUGGGGAUGCUGAUAUUCAUUGGCCAGAGGUGAAAUUCUUGGAUUCAAUGAAGAUCAACUCAUGCGAAAGCAUU